rnacentral:rRNA from 1 species
GAAAAGCUCAAAUUUAAAAUCUGGCGGUCCUUGCGGCUGUCCGAGUUGUAAUCUGGAGAAGUGCUUUCCGCGCUGGACCGUGUACAAGUCUCUUGGAACAGAGCGUCGUAGAGGGUGAGAAUCCCGUCUUUGACACGGACUACCAGUGCUUUGUGAUGCGCUCUCAAAGAGUCGAGUUGUUUGGGAAUGCAGCUCAAAAUGGGUGGUAAAUUCCAUCUAAAGCUAAAUAUUGGCGAGAGACCGAUAGCGAACAAGUACCGUGAGGGAAAGAUGAAAAGAACUUUGGAAAGAGAGUUAAACAGUACGUGAAAUUGCUGAAAGGGAAACGCUUGAAGUCAGUCGCGUUGGCCGGGACUCAGCCUUGCUUCCGCUUGGUUUAUUUUCUGGUCGACGGGUCAGCAUCAGUUUUGAUCGUCGGACAAUGGCAGGGGGAAUGUGGCAUCUUAGGAUGUGUUAUAGCCCUCGGUCGCAUACGAUGGUUGGGACUGAGGAUCUCAGCACACCUUUAUGGUCGGGGUUCGCCCACGUUUGUGCUUAGGAUGCUGGCAUAAUGGCUUUAAACGACCCGUCUUGAAACACGGACCAAGGAGUCUAACAUGCAUGCGAGUGUUUGGGUGGAAAACCCGAGCGCGUAAUGAAAGUGAAAGUUGAGACCUCUGUCGCGGAGGGCAUCGACGCCCGGACCAGACCUUCUGUGACGGCCCUGCGGUAGAGCAUGUAUGUUGGGACCCGAAAGAUGGUGAACUAUGCCUGAAUAGGGUGAAGCCAGAGGAAACUCUGGUGGAGGCUCGUAGCGAUUCUGACGUGCAAAUCGAUCGUCAAAUUUGGGUAUAGGGGCGAAAGACUAAUCGAACC